rnacentral:misc_RNA from 1 species
AGCAGCCGCGGUAAUUCCAGCUCCAAUAGCGUAUAUUAAAGUUGCUGCAGUUAAAAAGCUCGUAGUUGAAUUUCGGGAUCAAUAUGUUGGUCGUGCCUCGGUACGUACUAGCUUAUUGGUUUCUUCCUUCUGACGAACCAUAAUGUCAUUUAUUUGGUGUUAUGGGGAAUCAGGACUGUUACUUUGAAAAAAUUAGNGUGUUUAAAGCGGGCUCACGCUUGAAUACAUUAGCAUGGAAUAAUGAAAUAGGACGUUUGAUUCUAUUUUGUUGGUUUCUAGGAUCGACGUAAUGAUUAAUAGGGAUAGUUGGGGGCAUUAGUAUUCAAUUGUCAGAGGUGAAAUUCUUGGAUUUAUUGAAGACUAACUACUGCGAAAGCAUUUGCCAAGGAUGUUUUCAUUAAUCAAGAACGAAAGUUAGGGGAUCGAAGACGAUCAGAUACCGUCGUAGUCUUAACCAUAAACUAUGCCGACUAGGGAUCGGAUGAUGUUAAUUUUUUUAAUGACUCAUUCGGCGCCUUAC